UACGUAGGCAGCAAGCGUUGUUCGGAGUUACUGGGCGUAAAGAGUGCGUAGGCGGUUCGCCAAGUCUGGUGUGAAAUCUCCCGGCUUAACCGGGAGGGUGCGCCGGAAACUGGCGGGCUCGAGUGUGGGAGAGGAAAGCGGAAUUCCUGGUGUAGCGGUGAAAUGCGUAGAUAUCAGGAGGAACACCGGUGGUGUAGACGGCUUUCUGGACCACUACUGACGCUGAGGCACGAAAGCGUGGGGAGCAAACAGG
rnacentral:rRNA from 1 species